rnacentral:rRNA from 1 species
GGAAUUGACGGGACCCGCACAAGCAGCGGAGCGUGUGGUUUAAUUCGAUGCUACACGAAGAACCUUACCAGGGUUUGACAUGCAAGUGGUAGGAAACUGAAAAGGACGACCCUUCGGGAGCUUGCACAGGUGCUGCAUGGCUGUCGUCAGCUCGUGUCGUGAGAUGUUCGGUUAAGUCCGCUAACGAGCGCAACCCUCACUGUGUGUUAUAUGUGUCACACGGGACUGCCGGUUUUAAGCCGGAGGAAGGUGGGGAUGACGUCAAGUCAGCAUGGCCUUUAUAUCCUGGGCUACACACACGCUACAAUGGUCGGUACAAUAGGUUGCCAAGCCGCGAGGCGGAGCCAAUCCAAAAAAGCCGGCCUCAGUUCAGAUUGUAGGCUGCAAUUCGCCUGCAUGAAGUCGGAAUCGCUAGUAAUCGCAGGUCAGCAUACUGCGGUGAAUACGUUCCCGGGCCUU